rnacentral:ncRNA from 1 species
CUGCUGUGGCGCGAUGUAGUGGAUGUGGGUGUCGACGCCGCCGGCGGUGACGAUCUUGUGCUCGCCAGCGACGACCUCGGUGCCGGGGCCGAUCACCAGCUCCGGGUGCACCCCGUCCUGCAGGUGCGGGUUGCCGGCCUUACCCACGGCGACGA